GACGUAGGGGGCAAGCGUUGUUCGGAAUUAUUGGGCGUAAAGCGCUCGUAGGCGGGAUUGGAAGUCCGUGUUGAAAGACCUCGGCUCAACUGAGGGACCGGCUCGGAUACUCUAAUUCUUGAGGCAAUCAGAGGAUGAUGGAAUUCCCGGUGUAGCGGUGAAAUGCGUAGAGAUCGGCAGGAACACCCAGGGGGAAACCAGCCGACUGGGCAUCUACUGACGCUGAGGUGCGAGAGCGUGGGGAGCGAACCGG
rnacentral:rRNA from 1 species